GCCUUCUUCAGCAGCACUUAUACUAAAAUUGGAAGGAUCUAGAGAAGGUUAGCAUAGCUCCUGCACAAGGAUGGCAAUCUAUGCUGGAGAAUGUUCCAUGAACUGU